rnacentral:lncRNA from 10 species
GUCGGGGUCUCGAUCUGUUGGCUAGACUGGUCUCAAAAUCCUGGCCUCAAGCAAUCCUCCCACCUGAGCCUCCCAAAGUGCUGGGAUUAUAGGCAUGAGCCACCACACAUCAUGUGAAAUCUCACACACACACAUCUGACUUGUUCACAUAAGCACACGUCACACACACACACACACACACACACACACACACAGGCGCACAGCGUCCUCAUCCAGAAACAAUUUCCUCAGUAUUUAUUAACACAAACUAGACAAAUGGUAGAAAAGCGAACAUCUUAUUACACAAUUUUUUCUAAUAGGAGAAUGUCCUGCCCUUGAGGAACCAUGAGCCCUUGAGAAUGUCAGAUGGUAAAUAAAUCAAUAAUUCGAACACAACGUGAAAAGAGUUAGAACAGGGGCAUACAAAGGAAUGCAAUGGGAAGAAUGACAGGUCUUGGCUCAAAAGCUGAUGCAGAUCCUGAAGGCACUGCCCUGCUUGCAACAGAAUGGCACGGUCUUUUUUGAAGGGAUGGCUGGGCUCAGUGGCUCACACCUGUAAUCCCAGCACUUUGGGAGGCUGAAAGAGGCUGAUCACUUGAGGUCAGGAGUUCAAGACCAGCUUGGCCAACAUGAGGAAACCCCACCUCUAUUAAAAAUACACACAC